rnacentral:rRNA from 1 species
AUGAACGCUGGCGGCGUGCCUAAUCCAUGCAAGUCGUGCGAACAGACGAGGAGCUUGCUCCUCUGACGUUAGCGGCGGACGGGUGAGUAACACGUGGAUAACCUACCUAUAAGACUGGGAUAACUUCGGGAAACCGGAGCUAAUACCGGAUAAUAUAUUGAACCGCAUGGUUCAAUAGUGAAAGACGGUUUUGCUGUCACUUAUAGAUGGAUCCGCGCCGCAUUAGCUAGUUGGUAAGGUAACGGCUUACCAAGGCAACGAUGCGUAGCCGACCUGAGAGGGUGAUCGGCCACACUGGAACUGAGACACGGUCCAGACUCCUACGGGAGGCAGCAGUAGGGAAUCUUCCGCAAUGGGCGAAAGCUUGACGGAGCAACGCCGCGUGAGUGAUGAAGGUCUUCGGAUCGUAAAACUCUGUUAUUAGGGAAGAACAAAUGUGUAAGUAACUAUGCACGUCUUGACGGUACCUAAUCAGAAAGCCACGGCUAACUACGUG